GACGAACGCUGGCGGCGUGCCUAAUACAUGCAAGUAGAACGCUGAAGAGAGGAGCUUACUCUUCUUGGAUGAGUUGCGAACGGGUGAGUAACGCGUAGGUAACCUGCCUUGUAGCGGGGGAUAACUAUUGGAAACGAUAGCUAAUACCGCAUAACAAUGGAUGACACAUGUCAUUUAUUUGAAAGGGGCAAUUGCUCCACUACAAGAUGGACCUGCGUUGUAUUAGCUAGUAGGUGAGGUAAUGGCUCACCUAGGCGACGAUACAUAGCCGACCUGAGAGGGUGAUCGGCCAAACUGGGAAGGAGACACGGCCCAGACUCCUACGGGAGGCAGCAGGAGGGAAUCUUCGGCAAUGGGGGCAACCCUGACCGAGCAACGCCGCGUGAGUGAAGAAGGUUGUCGGAUCGGAAAGCUCGGUUGUAAGUCAAGAACGGGUGUGAGAGUGGAAAGUUCACACUGUGACGGUAGCUUACCAGAAAGGGACGGCUAACUACGUG
rnacentral:rRNA from 1 species